AUUAGCUAGUUGGUAGGGUAAUGGCCUACCAAGGCUACGAUGGUUAGCUGGUCUAAGAGGAUGGCCAGCCACACUGGAACUGAGACACGGUCCAGACUCCUACGGGAGGCAGCAGUGGGGAAUCUUGCGCAGUGGGGGAAACCCUGACGCAGCAACGCCGCGUGGGUGAUGAAGGCCUUCGGGUCGUAAACGGCUAACUCCGUGCCAGCAGCCGCGGUAAUACGGAGGGUGCAAGCGUUGUUCGGAAUUAUUGGGCGUAAAGCGCGUGUAGGCGGUUGGGUAAGUCAGAUGUGAAAGCCUUCUGCUUAACAGAAGAAGUGCAUUUGAAACUGCUCGGCUAGAGUACGGGAGAGGAGAGUGGAAUUCCCGGUGUAGAGGUGAAAUUCGUAGAUAUCGGGAGGAACACCAGUGGCGAAGGCGGCUCUCUGGUCCGAUACUGACGCUGAGACGCGAAAGCGUGGGGAGCAAACAGGAUUAGAUACCCUGGUAGUCCACGCUGUAAACGAUGGGCACUAGGUGUAGGAGGUAUUGACCCCUUCUGUGCCGCAGCUAACGCAUUAAGUGCCCCGCUGGGGAGUACGGCCGCAAG
rnacentral:rRNA from 1 species